rnacentral:lncRNA from 1 species
ACCAUCCUAUGUCACCUGGGGCACAUGUAACACAAUUACUGAAGCUGAUGAUCUAAACAUGAAGAAAAAAAGUGCAGUAACACAGUAAAAAAUACCCAUUAUUCACACAACCGUGUGUAAGGAAAGCACAGAGGAGAAGUUUCUUCUGAUGAUUUAUGGUGUUCAAUAGCAAAAAGGAAUACUUUGUCAAAGAGCAGUCAGUACCAAGGACGUUGCAUGAACUAUUAGACCUAAAGAGGUGAGUACAUGUGAACCUACUUCCUACAUACUUCCUGCUUAUGAUUUUGAAAUCCAAUUAUUUCUGUCCAUAACAAGGCAAGUCUGAGCACUAAUCUCCUUAUAGUUUGUGAGACACUUACUUAUGCUGCUGAUGGGAGCUACAGAAACAAAUAGAAUAGCGUUUGCCUUUAAAUUGCAAAUUUUAUGGUUU